rnacentral:rRNA from 1 species
UUAAGUUAAUAAGGGCGCACGGUGGAUGCCUUGGCACUAGAAGCCGAAGAAGGACGUGACAAACGACGAAAUGCUUUGGGGAGCUGUAAGUAAGCGCUGAUCCAGAGAUGUCCGAAUGGGGGAACCCACUAACUAAUGGUUAGUAUCCAUAACUGUUAAGGUUAUGAGAAGGAAGACGCAGUGAACUGAAACAUCUAAGUAGCUGCAGGAAGAGAAAGCAAACGCGAUUGCCUUAGUAGCGGCGAGCGAAACGGCAGGAGGGCAAACCGAAGUGUUUACACUUCGGGGUUGUAGGACUGCGACGUGGGACUUUAAAAGGAUAGAAGAAUUACCUGGGAAGGUAAGCCAAAGAGAGUAAAAGCCUCGUAUUUAAAAUUCUUUUGAGCCCUAGCAGUAUCCUGAGUACGGCGAGACACGUGAAAUCUCGUUGGAAUCUGGGAGGACCAUCUCCCAACCCUAAAUACUCUCUAGUGACCGAUAGUGAACCAGUACCGUGAGGGAAAGGUGAAAAGCACCCCGGGAGGGGAGUGAAAUAGAACCUGAAACCGUGUGCCUACAACAAGUUCGAGCCCGUUAAUGGGUGAGAGCGUGCCUUUUGUAGAAUGAACCGGCGAGUUACGAUAUGAUGCGAGGUUAAGUUGAAGAGACGGAGCCGUAGGGAAACCGAGUCUUAAUAGGGCGAUUUAGUAUCAUGUUGUAGACCCGAAACCAUGUGACCUACCCAUGAGCAGGUUGAAGGUGAGGUAAAACUCACUGGAGGACCGAACCAGGGCACGUUGAAAAGUGCUUGGAUGACUUGUGGGUAGCGGAGAAAUUCCAAACGAACUUGGAGAUAGCUGGUUCUCUCCGAAAUAGCUUUAGGGCUAGCGUCGAUGUUAAGUCUCUUGGAGGUAGAGCACUGUUUGGGUGAGGGGUCCAUCUCGGAUUACCAAUCUCAGAUAAACUCCGAAUGCCAACGAGAUAUCAUCGGCAGUCAGACUGCGAGUGCUAAGAUCCGUAGUCGAAAGGGAAACAGCCCAGACCACCAGCUAAGGUCCCAAAAUAACUGUUAAGUGGAAAAGGAUGUGGGGUUGCACAGACAACUAGGAUGUUAGCUUAGAAGCAGCUAUUCAUUCAAAGAGUGCGUAAUAGCUCACUAGUCGAGUGACCCUGCGCCGAAAAUGUACCGGGGCUAAAACAGUUUACCGAAGCUGUGGAUGACACAAAAGUGUCAUGGUAGGAGAGCGUUCUAUGUGUGAAGAAGGUGUACCGUGAGGAGCGCUGGAACGCAUAGAAGUGAGAAUGCCGGUAUGAGUAGCGAAAGACAGGUGAGAAUCCUGUCCACCGUAAGACUAAGGUUUCCAGGGGAAGGCUCGUCCGCCCUGGGUUAGUCGGGACCUAAGGAGAGACCGAAAGGUGUAUCCGAUGGCCAACAGGUUGAUAUUCCUGUACUAGAGUAUAUAGUGAUGGAGGGACGCAGUAGGCUAACUAAACCGGACGAUUGGAAGAGUCCGGCUAAGCAGUGAGGUGUAAGAUGAGUCAAAUGCUUAUCUUUAUAACAUUGAGCUGUGAUGGGGAGCGAAUUUUAGUAGCGAAGUUAGUGAUGUCACACUGCCAAGAAAAGCUUCUAGCGUUUAAUGAUACUCUACCCGUACCGCAAACCGACACAGGUAGUCGAGGCGAGUAGCCUCAGGUGAUCGAGAGAACUCUCGUUAAGGAACUCGGCAAAAUGACCCCGUAACUUCGGGAGAAGGGGUGCUGACUUAGGUCAGCCGCAGUGAAUAGGCCCAAGCAACUGUUUAUCAAAAACACAGCUCUCUGCUAAAUCGUAAGAUGAUGUAUAGGGGGUGACGCCUGCCCGGUGCUGGAAGGUUAAGAGGAGGGUUUAGCGCAAGCGAAGAUCUGAAUUGAAGCCCCAGUAAACGGCGGCCGUAACUAUAACGGUCCUAAGGUAGCGAAAUUCCUUGUCGGGUAAGUUCCGACCCGCACGAAAGGCGUAAUGAUUUGGGCACUGUCUCAACGAGAGACUCGGUGAAAUUUUAGUACCUG